GGGCGAUUAGCUCAGCCGGUUAGAGCGCGUCUCUGAUAAGGACGAGGUCCCAGGUUCGAGUCCUGGAUCGCCCA
rnacentral:tRNA from 3 species